rnacentral:rRNA from 1 species
AGAGUUUGAUCCUGGCUCAGGAUGAACGCUGGCGGUAUGCUUUACACAUGCAAGUCGUACGAGAGUUUUUAACUCAAGUGGCGGACGGGUGAGGAACACGUAAGAAUUUGCCUUUAGGAGGGGGACAACAACUAGAAAUGGUUGCUAAUACCCCAUAUGCUUUCGAGUGAAAUGGAUUUUUCCGCCUAAAGAGAAGCUUGCGGCUGAUUAGCUUGUUGGUGAGGUAAUGGCUCACCAAGGCGACGAUCAGUAUCUGGUUUGAGAGGAUGAUCAGACACACUGGAACUGAGACACGGUCCAGACUCCUACGGGAGGCAGCAGUGGGGAAUUUUCCGCAAUGGGCGAAAGCCUGACGGAGCAAUACCGCGUGAGGGAUGACGGCCUAUGGGUUAUAAACCUCUUUUUUCAGGGAGGAAUCAAAUGACGUGUACCUGAAGAAUAAGCAUCGGCUAACUCCGUGCCCGCAGCCGCGGUAAGACGGAGGAUGCAAGUGUUAUCCCGGAAUCACUGGGCGUAAAGCGUCUGUA